GAUGAACGCUGGCGGCGUGCCUAAUACAUGCAAGUCGAGCGAACGGACGAGAAGCUUGCUUCUCUGAUGUUAGCGGCGGACGGGUGAGUAACACGUGGAUAACCUACCUAUAAGACUGGGAUAACUUCGGGAAACCGGAGCUAAUACCGGAUAAUAUUUUGAACCGCAUGGUUCAAAAGUGAAAGACGGUCUUGCUGUCACUUAUAGAUAGAUCCGCGCUGCAUUAGCUAGUUGGUAAGGUAACGGCUUACCAAGGCAACGAUGCAUAGCCGACCUGAGAGGGUGAUCGGCCACACUGGAACUGAGACACGGUCCAGACUCCUACGGGAGGCAGCAGUAGGGAAUCUUCCGCAAUGGGCGAAAGCCUGACGGAGCAACGCCGCGUGAGUGAUGAAGGUCUUCGGAUCGUAAAACUCUGUUAUUAGGGAAGAACAUAUGUGUAAGUAAAUGUGCACAUCUUGACGGUACCUAAUCAGAAAGCCACGGCUAACUACGUG
rnacentral:rRNA from 1 species